AACCCAAAAUUAAGAACGGCAGGGCAGCAAAACAAAGUUCGUCUGACGUUCUUAAUUUUGGGUUGCUGUCAACACCCCAAAAAAAAAGUUCGCAGCCUGAACUGACAGACCCAAAAUUUUAUCGUUCGGAAUUUGUUUCGUUUGUUGGCGCCAUGCCGUUUGUAUUUGGUGCAAGUCUAUUUUUUUCAAGGAAAAUCGUACGAAAAAUCCAUUAUCAAUUGCGAAAAUUUGAUCAUUAAAAUUGGAGGACUGGAUCAACAAAUAAUAAGGGGAACCACAUAAAUAGAAAGCGAAGCUUGAAUUGAGGCACCAUGAGUAUAAUGAACAUCAAUCGUAUAAAAAAAAAUCAACC